AAGGCACCGGGCACCAGCUGUUCAUGCUGAACAUGCCCCUCGACCCAGCGACGCCAUCCUGGGCAGAUCCCACAAAGAAGGGCACAGUCAGGUUCACCAGCAGAAACGCGCUCACUAGAACAUCCGGCAGCUCUGUUCUGCUGGCGUCUGGAAAAGGCAUUCCAUGGUGCUGGCCGUGUGCUGCUUCUUGACCUGAGGGGUGAUUUCUUGGGUAUGUUCGCUUUGUAAAAACUGUCAUACCAUACACACAUAUACGUGCUUUUCUGCAGGCAUGUUAUACUCCAAUAACACGUUUGCUUUUAAAACAUGGCUGGCAGGGGGAUGCAGGGUGAUGAGAAGUUUGGUCUGAGUAACCCUGAACCCCUAGCUCUAAUUUGUUUCUCUGUGACUCUACAAUUCUACCUGCUCCCCUCAGUAAAUAAACACAGAUCUGGAUUAAACAUCCAAAAUAAAUUUUAAAAUGAGAAAAAAAUGUGUAGACAUUUAACAGAGCAAUUCUACCUCUGAGAAUUCAUCCUACAGAGAUAACCCAGCAAGAACACAGAAGAUUCAUUACAGCAUUGUGAGAAUGCAAACCCGAAGCCAGACGCACACCAGCAGGAUGACAAACGUAGACUAUUAAGCAGCCGUGAGAAUGAUGAUACAGUCUGAGCUACUGGCACGGAAAUAUAGACAUGGUAAAUUUAAAAACUGAAGCUGCGAAACGGCACGGAUAGCAGAACCCCAUUUAUAUAAAAUUGUGUGCACACACACACACACCUAGAGAAGCCCCGAAAGAAGUCACCACAAUGUUGACACUGGUCAUCUCUGAGGGAUGGGAUUUCAAACGAUGUUUGGCUAUGUGUGUGUGCAUGUGUGUGCGUGUGUGUGUGUUAUUUAAACAGCCUGCAGAGUAGGAAUAUCCUGGAUCUACAGUGCACCAAGGAAUGACCAUGGGAAGAAAAUGAACCUUGCUUCAUUCACAAUCAACCGUUUUUCCCUCAUUCACAGCAAAUCCUAGAGAAAUAACAGCUGUGUGCCACAAUCCCUACGAGAAAGUACCUGCCUCCAAGAGAAGCCACCCGCCUGCUUUCAUCUCCCUCAAAUAUGGUUCUGAAUCUGAGAAGCACAGGAAAGUGACUGUGUGUAAUAGUCCGCAACUGGAAACAGCCAAAUUAUGGUUACAAGGACGAGUCAGCGGUGGCCUAUUCAUAUAAUGGAAUAUGGAAUAGUGACGAGUAGCAUCCAGCCGUGAACACUGCAAUAUCCCCUGGGAGACUCUCACCUGGGAGUCUCCCGGGUAUAUUGGCGAUGCCUAGAGACGUAUCUAGUUGUCAAACCUGGGGAGGGGCUGCUGGCAUCAAGUGGGUAGAGGCCAGGGAUGCUGCUCCACACCCUCCCUGCAAUGCCCAGGCCAGCCCCACAGCCACAGUGCCCCAACACCAAUGCAUCUCAACACAGCAGAACCAGUUCCCUUGGAAGAUUAAGCCCCAGAAACACAAGCCAACUUCAAAAGGCCAAAGUCUGGAUUCCACUCUAUGCCUGGGAACCUCCUCUGUUCCGGGGUGACAUGGACGCUGGAGCUCCACACGGUCAGAAAGCGCUCCGGAGCUCGGCUCCACGCGGUCAGGAAGUGCUCUGGAGCUCACUCCCUUCCAAUGCCCUGAGAGAUCGGACAGACGAUUGCUGACGUCAGUGGCAAAGGGCUGACGUCAGUGGCAAAGGACUCCCGCCCCCCCGCAGACAUUAAAAUGAGCCCUUUGGGAGAAUAAGGGAUUCCAUCCAGCUCAGAAGGGCAGGAGUAAUGAGGCCACCCAGCCCUCUGGAGGGCACCGGGAAAGGCUGGAAGCAGGGUCUGUGCCCUGAGACACAGUCCACUGAGACACAGUCCAUGGCCCAGCCACACCCGCGGCUGCCCCGUUUGUCUGUAGAGUGCAGGCUCCCCAGCAGGGGAGAAGCACAGAUGACACCUCACUGACCAUUCCCACUUGCCCUCUGCAGCCUGAGGGCCCAGACACACUGAUGGCACUGGCGCAAUUGACAUGAACCGGGCACAGUGACACAGUCACGUGUCCCAGGACCUCCGUGGGCUUCCGUGGUGCAGCCCUGGGGCAUGUGGAGUGCCCAGCCUCACCCCCAGGCUUUACCAGGUGCCCCCUCAGAGCCUCCAGGAUGGGCCUGCAACUCUGUCCCUCACACCCUGGGGAGCUUGCACCCCAUUCUGUGCCAGCAAAAGAAGGUAUCUCAGGCCAGGCACAGUGGCCCACGCCUGUAAUCCCAGCACUUUGGGAGACGGAGGUGGAUGGAUCACUUGAGGCCAGGAGUUCGAGACCAGCCUGAACAACACGGUGAAACCCUGUCACUACUAAAAUUACAAAAAUUAGCAGGGAGCAUGCCCGUAAUCCCAGCUACUCAGGAGGCUGAGGCAGGAGAAUUGCUUGAACCCAGGAGGUAGAAGUUGCAGUGAGCCGAGAUCGUGCCAUUGCACUCCAGCCCGGAUGACAGAGCAAGACUCUGUAUC
rnacentral:lncRNA from 10 species